rnacentral:lncRNA from 1 species
GAAAUCAGAAAACACAGAGAGAGAAAAAACAACACUAUACUACACGAGCAAGAAGAAAAAAGGAAAACACUUCCAUUUUAUUUAUUCUUCUUUCAAACAAUAAUCAUACAUUCACUUCUUUUCUUCCUUACCCAUUUUUUUCCAUAUCAACACAAACACAUAUACCAUCACAAACAACCUACAAAAGUUGUGGGUGUUCUAAUCGAGCUUCGGUUAAGAUUUUGCGGUAUUCAACUUUAUUUUAUCUUCUUAUUUAAUUUAUUCAUGGAAUUUGAUGUAAUUAUUAUGAUAAGUUUUCUUACACUUUUAUUUUAUUCAUAAUUUGAUUAAAAUGAAGAAUGUGUUAAGUGUUAUAUCUCUUUAAUGAAUGAAAGUAACUUUAUUGGUGGUUAUUUUUAUUUAUCUAUUUUUGUUCAUUAGUUGUGAUGUCUUAAAAUGAAUGGGUCAUGAUGUUGUUCAUUUCUUGAUUUCGAUGCUAAUAAUGAUAAAGUAGGAAUUAUUGGGUUCACAAAAUUAUUGUUGUUUUAUUUAUUAAAUAAAGAAUGAGAUUUAUUUUAGCAAUUCGUCAUUGUUUUGUUGGAUUAAUAAAAAAGUACAAUAUGAGUAUGCCUAAUUUCGCCAUUAACUUCAAGAUAAAAAUAAAAUAAAAAUAAAAAUAUAAUAUGUGUAGGCCUAAUUUUAACAUUAACUUUAAGGGUG